rnacentral:rRNA from 1 species
CCUACGGGAGGCAGCAGUGAGGAAUAUUGGUCAAUGGGCGAGAGCCUGAACCAGCCAAGUCGCGUGAAGGAUGACGGCCCUACGGGUUGUAAACUUCUUUUGUCAGGGAACAAUUGGGUCCACGCGUGGGCUUAGGGAGGGUACCUGAAGAAAAAGCAUCGGCAAACUCCGUGCCAGCAGCCGCGGUAAAACGAAGGAUGCAAGCGUUAUCCGGAUUUAUUGGGUGUAAGGGGUGCGUAGGCGGAAUAUAAAGUCAGCGGUAAAAAUUCGGGGCUCAACGCCGUCGUGCCGUUGAAACUGAUGUUCUUGAGUGGGCGAGAAGUAGGCGGAAUGCGUGGUGUAGCGGUGAAAUGCAUAGAUAUCACGCAGAACUCCGAUUGCGAAGGCAGCAUACCGGCGCCCCACUGACGCUGAAGCACGAAAGCGUGGGUAUCGAACAGGAUUAGAUACCCUUGUAGUC